AUUGAACGCUGGCGGCAGGCCUAACACAUGCAAGUCGAGCGAGCGGCGGACGGGUGAGUAAUGUCUGGGAAACUGCCUGAUGGAGGGGGAUAACUACUGGAAACGGUAGCUAAUACCGCAUACCAUCAGAUGUGCCACGAUGGGAUUAGGUGGUAGGUGGGGUAACGGCUCACCUAGGCGACGAUCCCCAGCUGGUCUGUGAGGAUGACCAGCAACACUGGAACUGAGACACGGUCCAGAAUCCUACGGGAGGCAGCAGGGGGGAAGAUGGAAAAAUGGGCGCAAGCCUGAUGCAGCCAUGCCGCGUGUGUGAAGAAGGACUUCGGGUUGUAAAGCACUUGCAGCGGGGAGGCGUUACCCGCAGAAGAAGCACCGGCUAACUCCGUGCCAGCAGCCGCGGUAAUUC
rnacentral:rRNA from 1 species